UACGUAGGGGGCGAGCGUUGUCCGAAGUUACUGGGCGUAAAGCGCGCGUAGGCGGUUUCUUAAGUCUGGUGUGAAAGGUUCAGGGCUCAACCCGAACAGUGCACUGGAUACUGGGAGACUUGAGUAUGGGAGAGGAGAGCGGAAUUCCUGGUGUAGCGGUGAAAUGCGUAGAUAUCAGGAGGAACACCGAUGGCGAAGGCAGCUCUCUGGCCUGUAACUGACGCUGAGGUGCGAAAGCGUGGGGAGCAAACAGG
rnacentral:rRNA from 1 species